GAACGGUGAAGCAGAGCUUGCUCUGUGGAUCAGUGGCGAACGGGUGAGUAACACGUGAGCAACCUGCCCUGGACUCUGGGAUAAGCGCUGGAAACGGCGUCUAAUACUGGAUAUGAGAUGCGAUCGCAUGGUCGUGUUUGGAAAGAUUUUUCGGUCUGGGAUGGGCUCGCGGCCUAUCAGCUUGUUGGUGAGGUAAUGGCUCACCAAGGCGUCGACGGGUAGCCGGCCUGAGAGGGUGACCGGCCACACUGGGACUGAGACACGGCCCAGACUCCUACGGGAGGCAGCAGUGGGGAAUAUUGCACAAUGGGCGCAAGCCUGAUGCAGCAACGCCGCGUGAGGGAUGACGGCCUUCGGGUUGUAAACCUCUUUUGGUAGGGAAGAAGCCUUCGGGUGACGGUACCUGCAGAAAAAGCGCCGGCUAACUACGUGCCAGCAGCCGCGGUAAUACGUAGGGCGCAAGCGUUAUCCGGAAUUAUUGGGCGUAAAGAGCUCGUAGGCGGUCUGUCGCGUCUGCUGUGAAAUCCCGAGGCUCAACCUCGGGCUUGCAGUGGGUACGGGCAGACUAGAGUGCGGUAGGGGAGAUUGGAAUUCCUGGUGUAGCGGUGGAAUGCGCAGAUAUCAGGAGGAACACCGAUGGCGAAGGCAGAUCUCUGGGCCG
rnacentral:rRNA from 1 species